UACGUAGGGGCUAGCGUUAUCCGGAAUUACUGGGCGUAAAGGGUGCGCAGGUGGUUUCUUAAGUCAGAGGUGAAAGGCUACGGCUCAACCGUAGUAAGCCUUUGAAACUGGGAAACUUGAGUGCAGGAGAGGAGAGUGGAAUUCCUAGUGUAGCGGUGAAAUGCGUAGAUAUUAGGAGGAACACCAGUUGCGAAGGCGGCUCUCUGGACUGUAACUGACACUGAGGCACGAAAGCGUGGGGAGCAACCAGGAUUAGAUACCCGCGUAGUCCCUGA
rnacentral:rRNA from 1 species